UACGGGGGGGGCAAGCGUUGUUCGGAAUUACUGGGCGUAAAGGGCUCGUAGGCGGCCAACUAAGUCAUACGUGAAAUCCCUCGGCUUAACCGGGGAACUGCGUCUGAUACUGGAUGGCUUGAGUUCGGGAGAGGGAUGCGGAAUUCCAGGUGUAGCGGUGAGAUGCGUAGAUAUCUGGAGGAACACCGGUGGCGAAGGCGGCAUCCUGGACCGAUACUGACGCUGAGGAGCGAAAGCCAGGGGAGCAAACGGG
rnacentral:rRNA from 1 species